rnacentral:rRNA from 1 species
UACGUAGGGGGCUAGCGUUAUCCGGAAUUACUGGGCGUAAAGAGUGCGUAGGUGGUUUCUUAAGUCAGAAGUGAAAGGCUACGGCUCAACCGUAGUAAGCUUUUGAAACUAAGAGACUUGAGUGCAGGAGAGGAGAGUAGAAUUCCUAGUGUAGCGGUGAAAUGCGUAGAGAUUGGGAGGAACACCAGUGGCGAAGGCGGCUUUCUGGACUGUAACUGACACUGAGGCUCGAAAGCGUGGGGAGCAAACA